rnacentral:lncRNA from 1 species
UAAGAAUGUUAUUUUAUUUGUUUUGAUGUAUUUAUAAAAAAAUUACCAAAUUUUACCAUUAUUCAAAUUAACUUUAUACCUAAAUAAAAGAUUCUACUAGUUACUGAUUUGUAGUAAGGAGUGCUAGUAGUUACUGAUUUUUAGUAAGGAUUCGAAAAAAAUUCAUACAUAAUUUUUCAAAAAAUAUGAAAUUAAAUAAGCAUUAAACCCCAAUUCUACAC